CUAUGAGUGCGAAGCAAGAAGAUCAAAGAAUUGGUAAAGUAUAAAUUACAAUCGGCAUUAUUACGUACAUAAGCUCUUUUCUAGGAACAUCGAUGGUGUGACGUCACAGAAGCAGUGAUGACGUAACAGAAGAACCUGCUUCAACAUGGGUAUGUGACGUCACAGAAGAUCUUGUCAAUGGUUCCAGAACUUAAAGAAUGAAAGACGGAAAAAGACGAGAAAAGAAAAAAAGCGCAAGACGAAGAACAAAGACGAAGACGCCAAUAUAAGGAUCCCGGUUUGAGGUGUUUGUAGGUUUAAGUGUGUAUAGGUUUAUUUAUGCGGCGGUAUACGCGCGAAGAAAGAGGAUCAAAGAUGACGUAAGAUGUGACAUCACGAAGCUGUGAUGACGUAACGGAACAACCUACAUCACAAGGAACAAACACGAAAACGCCAAUAUAAGGAUGCCGGUUUGAGGUGCUUAUAUAAAUAAAUUUUAAGUACGAAUGUGUUUGUGUGUUAGCUGGUGCACUCUUACAGUGUUGCCAGUUAUUCUUUGCUGGACCUAAUGUUGCCAGCUAUAUGCCCCCAAGCACUUUUCAGUGCUUACAUGUCUUUGAAAUAAAUGCAAAGGAAUUGUUGCAACAAUCUUACUUGAUAAAGAUUAGCAUCUACUGUAAUGUUCAUUCCUUCCGAGUGUUUUGUCUGUCGGGACUUGAAUCUUACAGCGGUUUUGUAUUGUCUCGGUUUGCUUUGCGAGAACUCUGUCUUGGUACACAUAUACUAGAGUAAUAUCAACACGCAGUAUAAUAUACACCAACUUUCAAUCCCCGUAAUUGUUUAAAUCAAUAAAAUUUAUAAGUAAAGUCCCUAUCACGCUGUUAACUUAACUUAUUUAACACAACAUCGCGUAUGGCAUAAUUGGGACGAUGGCCACGUCACAAUUACGCUUUACGUCGAUGCGGUGGGUCAGCAACGUCAUGACCCUGCGUUCGGUGCGGUUACGUCACGGUCGGUUUAGUUACGUUACUGCUGCGGGUUUGUUACGUGGACGUCGCCGCUUAGCGGUACGUAACAGCCACAGUAUGUCGUAACGGUCGAUGCGGUGCGGAACAGCCGGACGAUAUUAUAUUGUGUGAAAAUACAACGAGAGUAUCGCGGUACCAAGAUGUUUCUUAAUAGGCGUUUGGAUUGGCGACGUAAAAGAGCUUUCAAGUCACACUAGGGGGGUUUUCUGUAAGAUUUUUGUGCCGUCCUAAAUAUGCUUGUUGGUGUGAUUGUGUUUAUUAUUAUUGUUUAUGUGCACUACUAACUUUGAUGUUUUUCUUGGUUUCUUUUCCUUGCGGAUAUAUCCAGCAAGGGUUUCUCACCUAAGAAGUAGAAACCCACUACCAUUGGCUGGGGGCUUGUCGUGCCGUAGUGGCUUUCCACCAACGCCAGCCACAUAAACUAUGAAGGUAUUUUAAUCCUGUUUCUAUUUUGCAGAAAUGGAAUUCCUUUAUAUGCUACAAUCUUUAAAGGUUCCGUCCCGGUUGAAAAUUAACAGAUUCAGAACAAAGUUUUUUUUCACAUUUGCUGUUUUGUAUUUAACUGUUUUGUAUUUAACUAAGUUUGUAUUUAACUAAGUUUGUAAUAUCGCAUCCAUAAUAUCGCAUCCAUAAUAUCGCAUCCACAUAAACCACUCUCAUCUUCAACAAAGUUUAAAUAUCUCCACAAUUUCUCGUCAAGAUUUUCUUUUCUUUUUAACAACAUUUUCAUCAGCUGCUUCUUUCUCUCGAUGCUUUUUCCGUUUCUUCUUUUUUUUCGUCGAAUCAGUUUUAAGCACUGGCUGUUCUGACACUGAAUUAUCCUUCCUUGGUUUCAGUGUAGGGGAAUCCCCCUUACAAAUUGCCUUUUUCUUUUUUUUUUUCUUUUUCGCAGGUGCUUCAACUUGAGAGACCUGAAAUAAAUACUUCCAAAUUAUACCAAUUUGAAAAACCCA